rnacentral:pre_miRNA from 1 species
AAGAUAUGGAAGGGGCUCACUUCAGUCCAGUCCGAGUCGGUGAAAAAUGACUGAAACUCAGCUGCUGACUCGUUGGCUCGAGAGUUCACCAUUAAGAUAGAUUGAUGUUCGGCACUCACGCCAUGUAAUUAAGGUGGUGUGCUUCUGAUCCAACGAUGCGGGAGCUGCAUUCAGUCGUGACUGUCACGUCUUGGACUGAAGGGGCCUCUUCGUCUCCUACA